rnacentral:ncRNA from 2 species
UAGCCUUCGCCCUUUCGAGGUUCUCCGGCCAGGCGCCGGAGCUAAGAGGGAACGUGGUCCAAACCACGGCUGCCCCCGCAACUGUGAACAGCUGAUGUCUUAUCCACAGCCACUGCCCCUCGGGCGGGAAGGCGGAGAGACGGCGCAACGCGCCAGGCUGUGAGCCAGGAGACCUGCCUCGACGAUAUUCCAGAC